GAUCCCAAAAUAUAUACGAAAAUAAACAUGUACUUCAUGCUCUUCUAAAUUUUCUUUCCCUGACAGAAGGGAAAACACCCAGCUUCUAUUAGAUAAAACAAAGUAUUACAAGGUAUAUAUGGAGAAAAGUGUCGCAGUAAUAGACGCAUUGUACAUGUACCAGGGCUCACAUAUACAAACUAAUAUGAAGGGGAUUCAUACCUCCGGUGUAGUUGCCACAGGCAACAUUGGACGGCUCAACGGAUGUUCAUCACUCAUCUUAAGGGCCUGAAAAAAAAAUCAACUCCAAAUCAGAAUAAGCUUUUUGCAGACGGACAUCAGUGUUGACUAAAUCAUAUCUGUGAAAAAAAUAGCCGAUCAUUCUUUUUUUUUGCGGGAUCAUUCUUUUAUUCUCUCAAGUGGCACCAGGCACUUAAUUGCACUGAAAAAUAUGCAGUUCAAAUUAAGUGAAGCAAGUUCAUACAAUAAUUAGAAGGUUCUGUACAGUUCUCUGUUUCAAAUUGUUUUUCUUGUGAUGCGGCAAAGAAAUUCUCCUACAAUUGCAAAAAUCAUUAUUCAUAGUUUAAUAGUAAUAAUGUUCAGGCAGGCACAAAUUUAGGAAAAAUACCACAUGAAUCUGAAUUGAACCGUACAUGAUUCACAAUCGCAUCUAAGUACAAAACCAACAGUGGUCCUCCAUCUAAGCAAUCCAUGAGUACACUUGAUCUCAAGAUUACUAACUAAAACCAAGUCUCGCAACAAUAAGAGAAGAAGACCAUGACCACCAGUAUCAAGUGCUGAAGAAUCGUAUUAGGUGUUUUACAAUUACAGAUAGUCGAUGAGCAGUAAAGUGGAAGCAAAGAGGCAAC
rnacentral:lncRNA from 1 species